GUUGCCGAACCUGCCUGGGCUCCCGGGCUGCGGUUCCUCCCGUCGGUCUGCCGGUCUCUACUGCAACUGCUGGGUCCCGACCAAACUAACACGAAACUGCGCCGGAACGUCGGGCCGGACUGAGAGGUACAGGCCCUGCUUGUGUGGGGCUUAGUCAGGAUGCCAACUUAGACCACACGGCAGACUGGCAGCCAAGCUGGUAAGGCUGGAACAGGAACACCUAUUCUUGGUUUGAAUUCUGAGUGCCAGCAGGACCUGGAGGGAGCUGACAUACUGAAGGAACUAGGGGCCAGCAAGAUGGCAGACGAGGCCUUAGCUGGGCUGGAUGAAGGAGCCCUCCGAAAACUGCUGGAGGUCACCGCAGAUCUGGCAGAACGGCGGCGGAUCCGCUCAGCCAUUCGGGAGCUGCAGCGGCAGGAGCUGGAACGAGAAGAGGAGGCUCUGGCAUCCAAACGUUUCCGUGCCGAGCGGCAAGACAACAAGGAGAACUGGCUACACUCUCAACAGCGAGAAGCUGAACAGCAGGCCGCCCUCACACGGUUGGCAGGGAGAUUGGAGUCCAUGAACGAUGUAGAGGAGUUGACCACACUGCUUCGGAGUGCUGGCGAAUACGAGGAACGCAAGCUGAUCCGAGCCGCCAUCCGCCGAGUGCGAGCUCAGGAGAUUGAGGCUGCCACCUUGGCUGGGAGACUGUGCAGUAGACUUCCCAGUAGUGGCCCCCGAGAGGACAGCAGGAGGCAGGCAGCACACACAUUGGACCCUGGUAAGGUGCCAGAGCCAGAGCAACAGAAACAGCAGACAGAAGGACGAGAGCCAACCCCAACCCCGGAGGACACCAGCCAGGAUGUGACCACAGUGACACUCCUGCUGAGGGCCCCGCCUGGGAGCACACCCGGUUCACCUGCCUCCCCGGACAAUUCGCCCACCGGUGCCUCUCCAGAGCCUCGGCUGGAGCCUCCUGGAGCCCAGUGUCCUACUGCAGAGGCUCCAGUCAGCUCUGAGCCACUCCCGCACCCUUCAGAAGCUCCCAGCCCCGAGCCGCCCAUGUCGCCGGUACCCCCCAGCUCUCAGGGGCGGGUCAUCAGCAAGCCCCUGCCUGGCCCCACGGAGCCCUCAGAUACCCUGGACUCCGCCAGAGGCUCCUCCAACACUAAGAGAGCAGACCCAGCUGAAUCGAAACCCUGCCAACGUUCACUAUCGGUGCUCAGUCCCCGACAGCCAACCCCAAAUCAAGAGCCAACCCCUCUUGCAGGACCGUCCCAGUUCCGUCGAGCUGGCUCUGUGAGAGACAGAGUCCGAAAGUUCACAUCUGAUUCUCCCGUGGUUGCCAGGCUCCAGGACGGCCCACCCCGAAUAGCCCUCACUUCACAGACCCCCACAAGGCUCCCGGGCCCUUCCCUCAUCAGCACCACCCCUGCCUCCUCCUCCUCCAGCGACUCCUCCUCUCUGAGUCCCAGUGACACUUCCUCCCACAAGAAGCAGAGAGAACUUGCUCAUUCCCUGGCCCAGCUUCAGAGCUGCCCUCAAGAGGAGGGCCCUAGGGGGCGGGGCUUGGCUCUCAGGUCCCUUGAAAACAGAGCAGGGGGGCCCAAGUCCUGCUCAGAAGAGCCCAGUACCCCACCGCCUGUCGCCAUCGGCACUGGGGAGCCAGGGGGCAGUAUGAAGACUACGUUUACCAUUGAGAUCAAGGAUGGCCGUGGUCAGGGCUCCACAGGCCGGGUGCUGCUGCCCACAGGCAACCAGAGAGCAGAAUUGACUUUGGGAUUGCGGGCACCCCCAACCCUUCUCAGCACCAGCAGUGGGGGCAAGAACACCAUCACCCACAUUAGCAACCCUGGGACUGUGACCCGACUGGGCAGUGUCACUCGCGUCACUACCUUCAGCCAUGCCUCCCCUGGUAACCGAGGAGGCUGCAACUUUAAGAUGGAGCCAGAUCCUGCAGAGCCCCCCUCUGCCACAGUGGAAGCAGCUAACGGCGCAGAGCAGGCUCGAGUGGACAAAGGCCCAGAGGGGCGGAGCCCCCUGAGUGCGGAGGACCUGAUGGCCAUUGAGGAUGAAGGAGUCCUGGACAAGAUGCUGGACCAGACUACGAACUUUGAGGAGAGGAAGCUCAUCCGGGCUGCGCUGCGUGAGCUCCGACAAAGAAAGAGAGACCAGAGGGACAAGGAACGAGAACGGAGGCUACGGGAGGCACGGGCCCGGCCGGGCGAGAGCCGAAGCAACGUGGCUACAGAGACCACCACCAGGCACAGCCAGCGGGCGGCUGAUGGCUCUGCUGUCAGCACAGUCACCAAAACCGAGCGGCUCGUCCACUCCAAUGAUGGCACUCAGACAGCCCGCACCACCACAGUGGAGUCGAGUUUCAUGAGGCGCUCGGAGAAUGGCGGCAGCAGCAGCAGCACCACCACCACGGUCCAAACCAAGACCUUUUCCUCUUCCUCUUCCUCUUCCUCGUCCAAAAAGAUGGGCAGUAUCUUCGACCGAGAGGACCAAACCAGCUCACGUCCUGGCAGCCUGGCAGCCCUUGAAAAACGCCAGGCAGAGAAGAAGAAAGAGUUAAUGAAGGCUCAGAGUCUGCCCAAGACUUCAGCAUCCCAAGCGCGCAAGGCCAUGAUUGAGAAACUAGAGAAAGAAGGCUCUGCCGGUGGUCCUGGCACACCCCGUACAGCUGUACAGCGUUCUACCAGCUUCGGAGUCCCCAACGCCAAUAGCAUCAAGCAGAUGUUGCUGGACUGGUGCCGAGCCAAGACCCGCGGCUACGAGCAUGUGGACAUCCAGAACUUCUCCUCCAGCUGGAGUGAUGGGAUGGCCUUCUGUGCCCUGGUGCACAAUUUCUUCCCUGAGGCUUUUGACUAUGGGCAGCUGAGCCCACAAAACCGGCGCCAGAACUUUGAGAUGGCCUUCUCAUCCGCUGAGACCCAUGCGGACUGCCCGCAGCUCCUGGAUACAGAGGACAUGGUGCGGCUUCGGGAGCCAGACUGGAAGUGCGUGUACACGUACAUCCAGGAGUUCUACCGCUGUCUGGUCCAGAAGGGGCUGGUAAAAACCAAAAAGUCCUAACCCCUGCUUGGGGCCCCACGGUGAGAAAUGUCGCCUCUCCCACCUGUCUCAUUUCACCGGAAUCUGCUCAUCAAUGCAUUGAGAGGGAUAUGGGGGGGAAAGUGUGAACAGCAGGAGAGGCUUAGAAAGCCCAGAGGAGACAGGCAAGUCCCUCGGUGACACAAGGGUAUGGUGACAGGGAGCCCAGGAGACCCCAGGCUCAGCCCAGCAUGGCAAACUAUAAAAAGGAGAAAACUAAUCUAGGGUCUGAACAGUUCACACUGAGGGAGGAAAAGGAGCAGCAGGCACAGGAACAGACCCAGCAAGGCCAGAGACAAGAGAGAUGGAGAAUGGAGAAGACAGCUUAGCCUGGAAGGAAAGAACCUGACGAGGUUGAAGGAAGGGACCACAGUAUGAGUUUGAGCAUCGUUGUGAGGACCCAGGAGGCAAAGGUUAGCCAAAUGGGAGAGAUGUGCUCAGACUAGGAUUCCAAAAAAAAUCCUUGGGAGAAACUUGAGAUGUUCAAGAUGGAACAACAUCAGAAGUAGAGGAUCAGAAGGGACAGGGUGGUGGGUGCUUGCUGCCUCACACAGGAUCACAGUUUAAGGUCAGCCGGGGCAACAGCAAGACCCUGUCUUAAAAACAAACAAACAAACUAGAAAGGCAGGCUCCCUGAUCUGGUUUGAAGAAAGAGAGGGUCAAGACGCCACUCAGGCUCAGCAUGUGACACAUGGGGAGCUAGCUGGUGGUGUCUUUCUCCAAAGUGAGGAGCUUGGGAACAGAACCAGUUCAACAGGAAGAUGUUUCUGGCUGGAUUCCCCGGAGCCAUAUGGCUUUUCUCUCUGCUCACAUCACCUCGGGGCCACAGUGAAGAAUUCCGAUCUGACCUGGCUUUCCUAUUACAGAUAAGGAGCUAAAAGAGGAGAGUGAGGCCCAGGUCUCCAUUUACUUGUUUGUUUUCUAGACCCACCGCUAUAUUCCCACCGAUUUUGUAGACAGAGGUAGGUGGGAGGUGGGGGUCAGAUCACAGAAGAGGGUAGAGUCUUAUCCAGCACGCAUGAGCACAGGUAGAAAGAUAGAGCACCGAAGUAAAGAUAGGGGCCCAAGGGGAGAAAUGAAUUGCUGGAGGAAAUGUGACUCAGCAAGGAUACACAGGGUGCUUUUCCUGCGUUAGGGGCCCUGGGGGAAGGAACACAGGUGCUCACACACUCAGAGGUUCAGGUGUGAAAAACAGGCUUGGUACUGUCUCUAGGUCAUAUAUGGACUUAGCUCCUGCUCAGCAGGCCACUGGAAAGAGAAAAGCUUUGCUUAGGGUAGCUCUGGCCCAGUAGGAAAGUGUGACUCAGCUACGUGCUCUUGCUUUAGUUGCCUGGUGUUUGGCUUGUCACUUGGGUAGCCUGAACCAUGUACCCCAGUAUAAACAAUGGCUUUAUAAGGUCUCCAGGGAAGGCACCACGGGCAGGAGGGAGCUCCAGACUUGGGAGGGAGGCUGGAAUCCCUGUACAGAUAGCUACAGUUGGAAGAUGCUCCAGAGAGAGGCUGCCUCUUCACCAUGGUACAGCUGGAUAAACAACCCCAAAUGUGGGGUGAGGAUGACCCGAAGGGCACAUAGCCUGUCAACAGUAGUGCCAGGAUGCUGGUGGACUGUGUACCCUUGGUGGAGGUGGAGGACAUGAUGAUCAUGGGCAAAAAGCCCGACCCCAAGUGCGUCUUCACCUAUGUGCAAUCGCUGUACAACCACCUGCGGCGCCAUGAGCUGCGCUUGCGCGGCAAGAAUGUCUAGCCACUCUGCUCACACCGCCCUCGCUGCGGGCUGCGGGCUGCUGUCCCCACGCCCCCAGCACCGGCCCCUCCCAGUGCGCCUGCCCACUGCUGCCCCGUCUGUUGAAACACCUCUCCCCCUUGUACACACGCAGCGUUUUGAUAAAUUAUUGGUUUUCAACGA